AGCGGGAAGUGCUUGCACUAAACAAUCUUUUCAUAACUUAGUGGCGGACGGGUGAGUAACGCGUGAGUAACCUGCCCUAGAGUGGGGGACAACAGUUGGAAACGACUGCUAAUACCGCAUAAGCCCACGGUACCGCAUGGCACUGAGGGAAAAGGAUUUAUUCGCUUUAGGAUGGACUCGCGUCCAAUUAGCUAGUUGGUGAGGUAACGGCCCACCAAGGCGACGAUUGGUAGCCGGACUGAGAGGUUGAACGGCCACAUUGGGACUGAGACACGGCCCAGACUCCUACGGGAGGCAGCAGUGGGGGAUAUUGCACAAUGGGGGAAACCCUGAUGCAGCGACGCCGCGUGGAGGAAGAAGGUUUUCGGAUUGUAAACUCCUGUCGUUAGGGACGAUAAUGACGGUACCUAACAAGAAAGCACCGGCUAACUACGUGCCAGCAGCCGCGGUAAAACGUAGGGUGCAAGCGUUGUCCGGAAUUACUGGGUGUAAAGGGAGCGCAGGCGGGAAGACAAGUUGGAAGUGAAAACCAUGGGCUCAACCCAUGAAUUGCUUUCAAAACUGUUUUUCUUGAGUAGUGCAGAGGUAGAUGGAAUUCCCGGUGUAGCGGUGGAAUGCGUAGAUAUCGGGAGGAACAC
rnacentral:rRNA from 1 species